rnacentral:rRNA from 1 species
AGAGUUUGAUCCUGGCUCAGAACGAACGCUGGCGGCAUGCCUAACACAUGCAAGUCGAACGAGACCUUCGGGUCUAGUGGCGCACGGGUGCGUAACGCGUGGGAAUCUGCCCCUUGGUUCGGAAUAACUCAGAGAAAUUUGAGCUAAUACCGGAUGAUGACGUAAGUCCAAAGAUUUAUCGCCGAGGGAUGAGCCCGCGUAGGAUUAGCUAGUUGGUGGGGUAAAGGCCUACCAAGGCGACGAUCCUUAGCUGGUCUGAGAGGAUGAUCAGCCACACUGGGACUGAGACACGGCCCAGACUCCUACGGGAGG